GCUGCAACUCUCUUAGCUUAAGAUCCCCCCCAAAGUAGAAUCCGAUGCAAAGACUUGUGUAUAGGGAGUUUAUUUUGGAAGUCAUUCUAGGGACCAGAAAUGAGGGAUGAAUACCAAUGGGAAAAAAGAGAAAGCAGAAGAGCCAAGAUAACGGUGCAUUAUUAGGUGCAUCAUGCCAUGGGUGCCUGGGACUCAACGCUGCCAGGACCUUCCAAUCAGUGCACAGAGGGACCUUGUGGGCCAGAUGACCGCCUGGCAGAAGCAUUCACUCGGUGGCGCCUGUGCACCCCAGGUUGAGGCUGGCUCAGUGGAAGCAACUUCCCUCCACAAGUCCUCCCGCUGAGCCCGCUCCUGCCAGCCUUGUGUUGGGGUGCUGCGGAAGCCCCUGGGCGAAAGUGAAAACCGCCUCAUGCUGACAGGAGGCGAGGUGCUGGUGGUGCAAAGGGAGCUGAAGCCCGCCCGGAACUGCUUGCCACAGCAUGGCUGGAAAUAGAGUUGUAGCCGUGCACGUGGCAGGCGGCGUUCAGAAGGAAUCUGGUGCAUUUUCUCGUAGUUAUGAAAACAGGCUCUGGAGCCAGGCUGUCUUGAUUCCAAUCCUUCUGCUGUACUUCCUUUCCCUCCACUUACAGAAGGGGGAAUACUAAGAAGAAAGUACUUUAUAGGGUUGUUAUGAAGUAAAUGAGAAAAUCCAUGCAAGAUGCUUAUAAUAGUGCCUGGCACAUAAUAAACACUCAAGAGCGGCUUCUAAUGUCCCCAUUUUACAGUUGAGGAAAAUGAGAUACAUAUUUUUUGAGGGAUGAGGAGAACGGGGACAAAGAGAGGAAGGGAAAGAUUUCGAGUAGACCCCACUCAAACCUCCAGAGAAGCGGAGGCCCUGGCUCUCUCAGCGUUUCUAUGUCCUCUUCCCCUAUCACAGGAGAGGCCGAAGGAGGGGGAGCAAAGGCUUUCUUCCCCAAACAGACAUUCAAGCUUCCUCUGUUCCAGCUCCAGGGUCCGUGGGUUCCUUGUGAUGUCACAGCUGGUUGCUAUGGAAACCAGGUUGCUGCGAAUGUCAAUCCGAGGCCCAUUGGGAGCACGGUGAUCAGCAGCCCAGGCGAGCCCAGGGAGACAAGAAAAUGAGGCUGCCCGUGAGGUCUAAUAAACACCUCUCGCCAUACCCCAAACACACAGACACACAAUAGAGCCCGCAGGUCCUGAGUGAGUCCCCUGGCCCACCCCACUCAGCUGAGAUCUGACAACAUAUGUUUGGGGACAAACAGCCCCAGCAGCCAGGAGCAGGCCACAUCAUACGUAGUCAGCAUCAGCCACGGUCCCCACCCACUCUCCCGGGGAAAAAGGUGCUGCUUGCAGGCAGCGUGGCAUGUGAACAUCCCCAUGGCGAUGCUGAGGUUAGACCUCACUAUGGUGAUCUCACGCUGGGGCCACCAGACCCAGGCCAGGUUGGGAGUAGGCUGUCAGCCCAUCGCUGGCUGUCAUUGUCACCAGGGAAGAGGAGAAGCCGUGAAGAGUCGCUCUGGAAAAAACAAAUCUGCUCGUAGGGCAAUGGGUCUGGGUGAACCUAUCCCGGCCCUCUUGGCUGCUGGGCCAGGGCCUGGUUUUUCACAGGGUACCAUUGAGGCCACAGGAAGUGGCUUUCUGCCUCUGAAGAUAGCAUACAACUGCCCUAGAAAGCGCUCUUGUCACCCCUGCUGCUGGAGUGCAAUUGCACAGUCUCAGCUCAUUGCAAGCUCCGCCUCCCAGGUUCAAGCAAUUCUCCUGCCUCAGCCUCCCGAGUAGCUAGGACUACAGGGUAGAGACUCAGAGGCCUACAGAUGUCUUUGCCACUUUCACAGGAUCUCUGGGAACUGGAAACUGAACUUUAAGAAAUAACUAUAGUGCAAAGGGAACUACGGGAAAAGAGUUCAACCCAAAGCAGAAGGGACUGUGAUGAUCACAGUGACCUCCUGAGGCCAGCAUGGUGGUAGCAGCCAGAGACAGCAGCUGAGUGAGACCCCAAGGGAGGGAUGAGCCAGGCAGUGUGUGGUUGGAGUUCUCCCAACACAUCUCGUUUUCCUCACCUCCAGAUCACACACAUGCACACACACACGUGUGCACACCCACCCUUACACACUCCUGCCCGAAGGUUUCUGCAGGACUCCUUCCUGGCGCCCCGUCCUUUGCUGCCAGCGUCACACCAUACUGCAAGGCUUUGCAAAUUUUCCCUCCAAAGUGAAGGAGACCCUCUGGCCGUCUGAGGCUUGGCCUGAAGCAACGGCCUCAGAGCGCAAUCUCAGGCGUGCAGGAAGUGCGCCACGUGCCACAUACAUUAUCUCACUUAAUCUCAUUAGCAGGAAAUGUCUUUAAAGUCUUAUGUUGGCGCUUAAAAAUUCAUGAGCAGUUUAGCCCUUUAAAAAGCCAGGUUUUUAAAAAUUUG